rnacentral:rRNA from 1 species
CACGCCGUAAACGAUGGAUACUAGGUGUAGGAGGGUCCAACCUUCUGUGCCGCCGCAAACGCAUUAAGUAUCCCGCCUGGGGAGUACGGUCGCAAGAUUAAAACUCAAAGGAAUUGACGGGGGCCCGCACAAGUAGCGGAGCAUGUGGUUUAAUUCGAAGCAACGCGAAGAACCUUACCUAGACUUGACAUAUUCUGCAUUACUCUUAAUCGAGGAAGUCCCUUCGGGGACAGAAAUACAGGUGG